rnacentral:rRNA from 1 species
UACGGAGGGUGCAAGCGUUAUCCGGAUUCACUGGGUUUAAAGGGUGCGUAGGCGGGUAAGUAAGUCCGUGGUGAAAUCUCUGAGCUUAACUCAGAAACUGCCGUGGAUACUAUUUGCCUUGAAUAUUGUGGAGGUGAGCGGAAUAUGUCAUGUAGCGGUGAAAUGCUUAGAUAUGACAUAGAACACCAAUUGCGAAGGCAGCUCACUACACAAUCAUUGACGCUGAGGCACGAAAAGCGUGGGGAUCAAACAGG